rnacentral:rRNA from 1 species
UACGUAGGGUGCAAGCGUUGUCCGGAAUUAUUGGGCGUAAAGAGCUCGUAGGCGGUUUGUCGCGUCUGCUGUGAAAACUCGGGGCUUAACUCCGGGCCUGCAGUGGGUACGGGCAGACUAGAGUGCGGUAGGGGAGACUGGAAUUCCUGGUGUAGCGGUGAAAUGCGCAGAUAUCAGGAGGAACACCGGUGGCGAAGGCGGGUCUCUGGGCCGUAACUGACGCUGAGGAGCGAAAGCGUGGGGAGCAAACAGG